AUAUAAGAAAUGAUAUAAUCAUGUGUGAUUUCGGCUCAUAUUUAGGUGUUAACACCCUUAUAUU
rnacentral:tRNA from 1 species